rnacentral:rRNA from 1 species
UCACGGAUAUCCGUAGGGCGGGACGUCGGCCCGUGGAGUUUGUUCGGGCUGGUGGCGAGUGGCGAACGGGUGAGUAAUGUAUCGGAACGUGCCCAGUAGCGGGGGAUAACUACGCGAAAGCGUAGCUAAUACCGCAUACGCCCUACGGGGGAAAGCAGGGGAUCUUCGGACCUUGCACUAUUGGAGCGGCCGAUAUCGGAUUAGCUAGUUGGUGGGGUAACGGCCUACCAAGGCGACGAUCCGUAGCUGGUUUGAGAGGACGACCAGCCACACUGGGACUGAGACACGGCCCAGACUCCUACGGGAGGCAGCAGUGGGGAAUUUUGGACAAUGGGGGAAACCCUGAUCCAGCCAUCCCGCGUGUGCGAUGAAGGCCUUCGGGUUGUAAAGCACUUUUGGCAGGAAAGAAACGUCGCGGGCUAAUACCUCGCGAAACUGACGGUACCUGCAGAAUAAGCACCGGCUAACUACGUGCCAGCAGCCGCGGUAAUACGUAGGGUGCAAGCGUUAAUCGGAAUUACUGGGCGUAAAGCGUGCGCAGGCGGUUCGGAAAGAAAGAUGUGAAAUCCCAGAGCUUAACUUUGGAACUGCAUUUUUAACUACCGGGCUAGAGUGUGUCAGAGGGAGGUGGAAUUCCGCGUGUAGCAGUGAAAUGCGUAGAUAUGCGGAG